rnacentral:misc_RNA from 1 species
AAUCACAAAUUGCAAGCUGGAGUUCGGGAAUCAGUAAAUAUAGGGAGAUAUCAGAGGUUAGCUGGCAGACUAAUUUAUCGUUUGCAUACCAGACAAGAUAUAGCAUAUGCAGUGGGUCUAGUGAGUCAGUAUAUGCAUGAUCCUCGUGAACCUCAUUUAGAGGCUAUUUUCCGUAUCUUGUAAUACUUAAAUCUGCACCUGAGAAAUGACUUCUUUUCUCAAAGCA